rnacentral:lncRNA from 1 species
ACCUGUUUAGAGUAUCUUCUACAGGAAACUACACAAAUCCUCCAAAAGUCUAGAUAAAUUUUAUGACUAGUUCAUAUUUUAUUGCACAUUACCAAAAGUCUAUGUACACUCUGGAUUCUUCCUACGUGAGCAGGAAGAUUGAACCGAAACAAUUGAGGAUGAUUAAGUGGGACCCUCUUGCGAGCAGUAAGGCGCAUCCUCGACAUACUUAGGUCUCGCUGAAAGAUUAGCACUGCAACAACAAAGCAAUAAUGAGCAACUAGAAGGCCCAGCAAUAUAUAUAAAAUGCUUAAAUGUAACGCAUUAAUAAGUGCUAUCUUUCGGAAAGAAUAAGAUAAUCAACGACAAUGUCAAUGGAAUAAAGCUAUAUCAGCUUAGGCAGUGAAUCAAAAUUUUGAAUUAAAUUAUUAGUCAACGGCAUACUAUCACAGCUGAUCAGUCCGUGUGAUAAUACAGAGCCAUGUUUCGUAGAAACAUGCCUCAAAAAUGGUACCAAACAAGGCAACACAUUGGCUUUUGGCAGAAAAGUAUUAUAAUAUUUCAAUAAUACCUAGAUAGCCCUCCGCUGGACCACCGUCCCGGCCUCCUAUGCACAAGUAAAAUAUUCUUUUCAAAGGAGUCACAUCAAUCAACUCCUUUAUCCAUUCAACUCCCCAUUUCACAUGGUCCGGAGUAGUCACAUCAAGUGAUGGCAACAUAACUAGAAUAAUUAGUUAUUUGCUAAUUAUGAAUUCAACUCUGUACUGUUUGGAGUAUAUCUGGAUAGCAUAGUUUCUCACUCUCUAUCUUAAAAGUAAUUCGAGGAUUCUAGUAGAAUGAUUAUUAGAACUUAGUAAAUUCAAUCAUUGGAAUGUAUUGAAUUCAAUCAUUAUUGGAGUAUCUGUAUGGUGUGUUUCACAAUGGAAUACUGAACAAUAAUUAUAUUCCAAGCAUAUGAUAUUCUAUGAAUUGAAAUACAGAAUAUACUAGUUGCAUUGGCAAUAAUUAAAAGUGGUGGAAUAAAAUCACUUGCUCUUAAUAAAUAAGAGAAGAUUAGAAGUACUUGCCUUUUUGCUGUACUCUAACUGGUACUUGCUUUAGAACCUGGAGUCUCUAUCAACUCUUGAAUCUAUAAAUCAAAGAGUAUUGAUUCAACAACUCGGGUCAACUCAAUUGACGUAAUUGUACGUCUCGCGAAAUAUAAACUACCCAAUCGAUUAUACUAAUCAUGGUAUUGUCACGUAAUUCACGUAUCACAUAAUCUGGUAUUUUAUGUAAUAUGCGAUUCAUGGUAUCACAUGUCAAGUAUUAGAUAUAAUUGACUCGGACGUUUAUUCUAUUCAUGCGUCUAGUUUAAUUUAAAUCACUAAGUCAUAAAGAUUCAAACAACACAUUCCUGAAAAUAUACCUCAACAAUUAACAAUUCAAUAUCCAUGUCUGUUAAUACACUGCUUUUGUCCACAAAUGUCAGCUCUUGACUAAGCAUGUUAUUUAAUAACUAAACAAGUGUGGUACUAGCAAUCAGUAGUAAUCCUCUUUCCGCCGCACUCCAUAAACGAGCGGCGUCUCCGCCUGAAACCAACUAGUGUCUCCUUUCCAGCCCGCCUCGCCGUCCCGACAACCUCUUCCCCUUAUCCCUCCGGCGACAUCGCCGUCGACUCCACCCACUCCGAUCGCCUCUGCACCCUCGGUCUCGAUUUCAAACCAACCAACAUAACACUCGCCCUACCAAUAUACACAUAACAAUCAACACACAAUAGUAUAGACAACCCCAAUCAUAUAGAUUGAACCUAAACUCACCUGCUUGAAUCUAUUAGCUGCUAGAACCGAAACCCUAAUUCCCUUUUUACUGAUAUAAGCCGAUGAC